AGAGUUUGAUCCUGGCUCAGAUUGAACGCUGGCGGCAUGCCUUACACAUGCAAGUCGAACGGCAGCACGGGGGCAACCCUGGUGGCGAGUGGCGAACGGGUGAGUAAUAUAUCGGAACGUGCCCUAGAGUGGGGGAUAACGUAGCGAAAGUUACGCUAAUACCGCAUACGAUCUAAGGAUAUAAAAGCAGGGGAUCGCAAGACCUUGGCGCUCGUGGAGCGGCCGAUAUCUGAUUAGCUAGUUGGUAAGGUAAAGCCUACCAGCGACGAUCGUGCUGUCUGGAGAGACAGCAACGGACGAGACCGCCGAUCUCGGAGCGCGUGGGAUUUGACAUGGGCACCUGAUCGCAUGCGCGUGUGUGAGANGCCUCGGUUGUAAGCCCUUUGUCAGGAACAAACGGUUCGGUUAAUACCCUGGGCUAUUACGUACUGAGAAUAACCC
rnacentral:rRNA from 1 species